UACGUAGGGUGCGAGCGUUGUCCGGAUUUAUUGGGCGUAAAGAGCUCGUAGGCGGUUUGUCGCGUCGGCCGUGAAAUCUCCACGCUUAACGUGGAGCGUGCGGUCGAUACGGGCAGACUUGAGUUCGGUAGGGGAGACUGGAAUUCCUGGUGUAGCGGUGAAAUGCGCAGAUAUCAGGAGGAACACCGGUGGCGAAGGAGGGUCUCUGGGCCGAUACUGACGCUGAGGAGCGAAAGCGUGGGGAGCGAACAGG
rnacentral:rRNA from 1 species